GAAACUUCAAAUAUAAAGUUUUGGAAACUUCAAAAUAGAGUUCCUUUUUGGAGAUGCUCUCAGAGAACAACACUCGACGUAUUUUAAAAUUCAAAGCGUACUUUAUAUAUAUAUAUAUAUAUAUAUAUAUAUAUAUAUAUACAUUCUACUUGAAAUAAGUGAUGCAUUGUAUUCUCCCCGAAUCUCAUAAAAAUUGUUCAGUUUUAAGGAUAUUAAGAGAAAUUGAUAUCAUAUUGAAACUAUGAGUAAAUAUUGCAUUGAAUUUCUUUACAAUAAAUCAGAAAGAAAAUAUAUUGGAAGAAUGCUCUGGAUUAUAUUGUACGAAAAUAACUAUGACUGAGUCCUAUGCCGUAGUAAACACGAAGUUUAGUGAUACAUUUAAAAAUUGGCAUCAGAGACUAGGACAUACUGGUUCAGUCAUGAUGAGAAAGAUAAUGCAAAAUUCGAAUGACCAUCUAUUGAAAAACAGAAGAAUUUUGAAAACGGGCGAGUUUACAUGUAAUACAUACUCUGAAAAAAAACUUAUAAUUCGGCCAUCACCAACAAAAGUAGGCAAUGAAUCACCAAUGUUUUUAGAAAGAAUACAUGGUGAUAUAUGUGGACCGAUCCACCCACCGUGCGGGCCGGUUAAGUAUUUUUGAUUGACACAUCUAGUAGAUGGUCAAAUGUGUAUCUUUUGACGACACGAAAUACGACUUUCGCAAAGUUCAUUUCCCAGAUAAUAAAGCUGAGAACGCAGUUUUCAGAAUAUGCCAUUAAAAAAAUAAAGCUUGAUAAAGCUGGUGAAUUUACAUCGCAAGCCUUUGAUGAUUAUUGUAUGUCAAUGGGGAUUGACGUGGAGCAUCCAGUUUCCCAUGUGCAUACACAAAAUGGCAUGGCCGAGUCAUUGAUAAAACAAUUGCAGUUGAUUGCAAGACCAUUAGUCUUGAGAACAAAGCUCCCAAUUUUUGUAUAUGGUCAUACUAUGUUGCAUGCGGCUGCACUAGUUCGGUUAGGACCGAGUGCAUAUCAUAAAUACUCCCCAUUACAAUUGGUAUCUGGACAUGAGGCAAAUGUAUCCCAUCUCUGUAUUCUUGGGUAUGCGUUCUAUGUUCCGAUAGCUCCGUCAUAAAGAACAAAAAUAGACCCACAAAGGAGAUUGAGAAUAUAUGUGGGUUAUACGUCACCAAGUAUAAUAAGAUAUUUGGAACCAGUAAUUAGUGAUAUGUUUACGACACAUUUUGCCGAUUGCCAUUAUAAUGAGGAUGAAUUUCCAGCGUUAGGGAGAUAAAUUAGUAGAAUUCCUAAAGAGAUUACAUAGUGUACACCAUCAUUGUUACACCUUGAUCCUCCUACGAAUCAAAGAGAGCUGGAAGUUCAGAAAAUUGUGCAUUUGCAUUAUUUGGAAAGCCAGUUACUAGAUGCGUUCACAGAUACAAGAAGGGUGACGAAGUCAUAUAUACCUGCUGAAAAUGUUCCAUCAAGAGUUGAUGUUCCUAAAGAACAAACUAAUGUAAACAAAAUGAAUGAACCUAGGGUUCAGUUAAAGAGGGAGAGGCCAGCGGGUUCUAAAGAUGAAAAUCCCCGAAAGAAAAAGAAAUUGGAUGAGCAAAAUAGUAGAGUUAUAGAAGAAUCUUAUAUUGAAAGAUGUCCGAAAGAAGACAUAAAUGGAAAAGUUCUAGAAGAACCUGUUAGUGAAAAAUGCCUGAAAGAAGGUAUAAAUAAAGAUGAUCCAGAUGACGAAAAGGGAACAUAAAAGUAUGAGAUUUUCAUUAACUACGCUCGGGAUGAAAAAUUAUGGAUCAGAAAUAAGAUAAAAAUAUGUUGAUGAAAUGUUUUCCUUUUCUGUGUCCAAAGAGAUCGAUCAUGAAAUGAUGAUCCCGAUCCAAAGUCCAUUUUGAAAUAUUGGAAAAUACAGGAUUGAGAGGAGUGGAAGAAGACCAUUCAAAUUGAAUUACUCUUCCUGAAUAAAAGAAAUGUCUUUGAAUCUAUAGUCAUAACGCUUGAGAAUAUAAAUCAUGUUUGGUAUAAGUGGAUAUUUGUUAGAAAAGUAAAUGAGAAGAAUGAAGUAACACGAUAUAAAUCCCGAUUAGUUGCCCAAGGUUUUUCUCAGUGGGAAUUGAUUUUGAGGAAACUUAUUCCCCUCUAAUGGAUGCAAUUACAUUUAGAUUUUUGAUGAGCCUAACAACAUCUAAAAAUCUUGAAAUGCAUCUCAUGGACGUUGUGACUGCAUAUUUGUAUGGAUCGUUGGAUAAUGAUAUAUACAUGAAACUCCUUAAGGGAUUAAAAAUACCAGAGGCAUUAAAAAAACAAAAUCCAGGGAGAUUUGUUCGGUCAAGUUACAACGAUCUCUAUAUGGAUUAAAGCAAUCCAGACGCAUGUGGUACAAUCGCUUAAGUGAAUAUAUUUUGAGCAAAGGAUAUGUGAAUGAUGUGAUAUCCAUGCGUUUUUAUAAAGAAAUUGUCAUCUGGCUUUGUGAUCAUUGAUGUAUAUGUAGAUGACCUGAACAUAAUUGAGACUCAAAAGGAGGUUGAUGAUGCUCGAACUCAUAUGAAAGAAGAGUUCGAAAUGAAAGAUCUCGGCAAGACAAAGUUUUCUCUUGGGCUCCAGAUUGAACAUCUCCGAAAAUGAAUAUUUGUGCAUCAAUCAAAUUAUACAAAAAAGGUUAUUGAAACAUUUUUAUAUAGAUAAAGCGACUCCUACUAGGUCUGAUAUUCCUUUUGCUACUAACCUACUAGCAAGAUAUAUUUCUGCUCUUACUUGCAGGCAAUAAAGCAUGUGCCGUUAUCUCCACGGUACAGUUGAUUUAGGGUUGAUUUAUUUUAGAAAAACCCGAGUAUGGUAUGGUUGGUUUUGCAGAUGCAGGAUACUUAUCAGAUCAUCAUAAAGCUUGAUUGAAAACCAGCUAUGUUUUUAUGAUUGGUGGAACCGCGAUCUCUUGGCAGUCCCAGAAACAAACUUUGAUUGCAACUUCUUCAAAUCAUAUAGAAACUAUUGCGCUUCACGAAGCAUGUCGAGAAUGUGUGUGGCUUAGAUUAAUGAGUCAACACAUACAAGAAGUAAAUUGAAUAGUCAACGAAAAAGAGCCGACGAAAAUAUUUGAAGAUAAUUUGGCUUGUGUCGCUCAAAUCAAAGAAAGCUAUAUUAAGAGUGAUAGGAUAAAGCACAUCCCUUCAAGAUUUUUCUCAUACAUACGGGAGCUCGAAAAAAAUUACGAAGUGGACAUUGAGUAUGUACGGUCAUGCGAUAAUCCAGCUGACUUAUUUACAAAAGCUCUUCCGGCUACAACAUUCCAAAACCACGUCUACGGUAUUGGAAUGCGGCAUUUGAGUGACCUGUGAAGAGAAAACUAUGUAUAUUAUUCUCAUGAAGAGAUUAUGUUAUAAUACUAUUUUUCGUCAUCAUGAUUUUUAUCCAUUUGGAUCUUUUCAUGAUUAGGUUUUUAACGAAAAUGUAUGUAAUACAAGCAAGAGGAAGUUUUAUGAGAUAAGAUUAAGUUUGGAUGAUGAUUAUCUACUAGAAAUAUUAUAUUAUUAACUAAAGAAAUAUCUGAACAUUAGCUAACCUUACCUUUCUAUAUAUAUGUUCGUUUGUGUAUAAGAAAAUUAAUGAAUGAAUUCAGCUCUUACUCUCUUCCUCUCAUCACUUUUAAUCACACACAAAGUUCAAUAAUAAAUAUUCAUUUCUCGUUUUCAUAUACAUCUAUCUAUAAUAAUAAAACUGAGUUUUCUCUCACCUCCUGCUGCCACGUCACUCUGGAGAUAGGGGCGUUUGCCGACACGUGUCGCCUAACCAGCUCUUCCCGUUUUUUUAGUUUCAUCUUUUCUGUGUUUUAGUGUUUUAUAGCUGGGCUUUUAUUUGAUGGAAUAGGUUUGGCCCAUACAUUUGGCCCGUUGGAGACCCAAACAUGCUUAGUUUUUGUCGUCGUCUUCCUCUUUCAGAAGCGACCUCAAUGAUGUGAUUCACCAACUGAAAGGUCGAUUCCCAACUCUGAAACGUCUCCCCGAUCCAUAAAUCAUUUCUGUACUCUGAGUUUUUCUUAAUUAAUCUACUCCACCCACAUGAAUCAAUCAAUAAACCUCUUCGUUUUUCCCAGUAACUGGUUGAAACUUCACCUAUAAAUGUCUCUCUUUUCUUCGAUGUUGAGUACAACUCAAACGAUUUCCAAAAGCAAUUAUUUGGAUGUUGGAGUCUGUGUCAAAUAUUCAAUUAACACAAUUGAGGAACCACAAUAGUUAUCUCACACGGAUGUUUCCUGCGACUGCGAGAAUUCAGCGUCCACCGCUCCAUUCUUGGAGAUUGGUCACGUCUAUACUAUGGAGUUGAGCUUCAGGAUACUUUGAUGUUAGGUACAGAUUAUUACCAAACUGAAUCUGGGAUUGCAUCUCUAUUAGCAGAAGGAAAUGUUCCAAUAUGUAUUGGUAGAGAUACAAAGAUCAGUUAAAACCUUUUCAAACAUCAAUCAAGUUAUUUUCUGGUGAUUUAUACAGGAAAUGCAUCAUUGACAAGAAUGCUAAGAUUGGUAAAAACAUGAUCAUCAUGAACAAAGGCGUAAGCUUUCCUUGAAUAUCUUCUCGAAGGAUUAUAUAUUCGAUCUGGAAUCACUUUGGUAGUGGAUCUUUGAGGUGCCAAAAUCUACGAAAGUAGAGUUGAAAGAUGAUUUUUUUUUUUCUUUUUGGCUCACAGAUGUUACUUGAUACGCAAGCCAUGAAGACAAUUCUUAUAGAAAUUCCUUCCCUUGCCAGACUGGUAGCUAUCUCAUCUUUACGAAUUUAUGUAUAUAUGUGCCUCUGUAUUUUAAUUUUUUUUUGUUAUUGAUGUUAUCUGAGCAUGAAACAUUUGGUAUCAUAAAGCAUUUUUGUUUCAGUAUGAUAUUGUAUAUACCAAUUUAGCCUUUUAAAUCUGAAGUUUGUGAUAUCAUUGCAGACUUCAACUGCUGCCCAGCUAAUCUAAAUUUGUGAGCCGUGAAAUAAGAAUUGCUUUAAUGGCAUACUGUCCCCAAUCGAUUCAGUGGUAGACACUUAUCAUACUCCUCUUUUUACCUUGACUAUGUAGUAACAAGAUUGACAGAUCUGCACUUUCUCCUUUUUCCCUUUGGACUAUGAGGUUUUGAGCUCUGCAUCAUGGGUUAGAUUUCUAUUUCUUAUUUGUAUUCAACUGUUUAAGAAUCUCUCAGAAUUUCAUUCCACAAUGUCAAAAACUGUCUUCAGAUUUUUAGGUAAAGUAACUUGCAAAAUCUUAACUUCCUCUGUUCUCUACGUAUCUUUAAUGUUUGAUUGAUAUUUUAGCAGAUGAGGCCCUGCAACAACAUAAUCCGACACUUGAAAAUAUCACUUUUGUACAUUUAACAUUUUAGGUUGAUGUAUUCAUGUUCAAUCAAACAGAGUUCACUAUGUAUAAUAAAACCAAUAAGGAAAGAUGACUGAAAAUUCUCAUGAGAUACUCGCAUCACAAGUAACCAUCUGCAAAUGAUUACAGAUGUAGCAAAUCAAACAUGAUCCAUAAAAAAAUGGAGGCAGGGCACAAUGUCAAUGAUACACGAGCACUGGUUUAGUAGUUGCCAAAUAGAUCCACUACUUAUUAACAUCAUUACUUCUUUUUUCCUGAAGACAUACAUCGUUUUUAAAAAUGAAAUACUUGAGUUACAUGAUGUAGUGAAGGGCCAUCUAGAAAAUAGACAAUGCUACUACACAUACGCUACUUCUCGGUGAACUAAUUCCUUGGAAAAGUUUUAAGGGAAAAUAAAUAAUUACUCCAGAUGCAAGACACAUUUACACAAAUAGCAAGAAUUUAUGGACUCCACGAGUGAACUAAUUCCUUCAAUAAAUUGAAGGGAAAAUAAAUAAUUACUCCAAAUGCAAGACACAUUUGCAUAAAUCACAAGAAUUUAUCGACUCCAUAAGUAAUAAACAGACACCAUAAUCAGUAACAUUAUCCCAAGAAAAAAAAAAGGACAUAGAACAAGGUAAAAGAUUCUCACAAGCAGUUGGUUAGUAACUUGCCAAAUAAAAUCCAGUGGUAACCAAGAACCUUCCUUUCGAUUAAAGAGAAAGAACUUUAUAUAAAUGCAUUGUAUUCAAAUAAAUUUGUAAAAUAAAAAAAAAUUAUGACAAGAAUCCUAUAGAAAAUCCUGACACGAAAGUAUAUAUUUGCACAAUUUAAAUGAUAGACAAAAUAAAUAAAAAAACAUAAACUUAUAAAUGAAACUAAAUAAUCUAAAGAAAAUAAAAAAUGUUAUAUGCAGCCAAAAUAAAAAUAGUACAUAUUUCCAUUAAACCAUUAAAGAAUUA